rnacentral:rRNA from 1 species
CGUCUUUUGAGAAAAAUAAAAGGUAUCGCCUGCCCACUGAGUAUUUAAAUGGCCGCGGUAUUUUGACCGUGCGAAGGUAGCAUAAUCAUUUGUCUAUUAAAUGUAGACUGGUAUGAAUGGCUGGAUGAAAAGAAGCUGUUUCAAUUUUAAUAAUGAAUUUUAGAGUUUUGUGAAGACGCUUAAAUGAAUCUAAAAGACGAGAAGACCCUAUAAAUCUUUACAAACAGCAUUUUGUGAGUAUGGUAAAUGUUAUUUGUUUUGUUGGGGCGAUAGAAGGAUAAAAUAACUCUUAUUAAAAUUUAAUAUUUAUAAUUAGAUUAAAAAUAAUGAUCCAUUAAUAAUGAUUAUAAGAACAAGUUACUUUAGGGAUAACAGCGUAAUUUUAUUGGAGAGACCAUAUUGAUAAUAAAGAUUGCGACCUCGAUGUUGAAUUAGGAUACCUUUAAGGUGCAGUUGUUUUAAAAGGUAGUCUGUUCGACUAUAAAAAUCCUACA